rnacentral:RNase_P_RNA from 1 species
GGAGUUUUCCGCAUGGUCGCUGGCAUUGCUUUAAUUAAGCGUAUGUCAGAGGAAAGUCCGGACUCCACAGAGCAGGGUGGUCCGUAACACGGACACCGGGUGACCGGUGGAAAGUGCCACAGAGAAUAGACCGCCUGAAAAAGUCGCUUUUAUGCGAAAUUUCAGGUAAGGGUGAAACGGCGGGGUAAGAGCCCACCGCUCCAGUGGUGACACUGGAGGCAAGGUAAACCCCACCCGGAGCAAGAUCAAGCAGGGAAAUGGGCUGCUCGUCCGAAAAUCCCGGGUAGAUCGCACGAGGUAACCAGUAAUGGUUACCCAGGAUAAAUGACCAUGGGGAAACCAUUAGGUUUCUUACAGAAUCCGGCUUACAGGUAAACUCCAUCC